rnacentral:rRNA from 1 species
CUGUCUCAAGACUAAGCCAUGCAUGUCUAAGUAUGAACGCUUCGUACUGUGAAACUGCGAAUGGCUCAUUAAAUCAGUUAUAGUUUAUUUGAUGGUCGUUUGCUACAUGGAUAACCGUGGUAAUUCUAGAGCUAAUACAUGCAGAAGGUCCCGACUCCUGGAAGGGACGUAUUUAUUAGAUCCAAAACCAGCGCGGGUUGCCUUCACGGGCGCCCGGUACCUGGGUGAUUCAUGAUAACUUCUCGAAUCGCACGGCCCUCGCGCCGGCGAUGGUCCAUUCAAAUUUCUGCCCUAUCAACUUUCGAUGGUACGGUAGUGGCCUACCAUGGUUGCAACGGGUGACGGAGAAUUAGGGUUCGAUUCCGGAGAGGGAGCCUGAGAAACGGCUACCACAUCCAAGGAAGGCAGCAGGCGCGCAAAUUACCCAAUCCCGACUCGGGGAGGUAGUGACAAUAAAUAACAAUGCCGGGCUCUUGUAGUCUGGCAAUUGGAAUGAGUCCAAUCUAAACCCCUUAACGAGGAACAAUUGGAGGGCAAGUCUGGUGCCAGCAGCCGCGGUAAUUCCAGCUCCAAUAGCGUAUAUUAAAGUUGUUGCAGUUAAAAAGCUCGUAGUUGGAUUUCGGGGCGGCCCGGCCGGUCCGCCGCAAGGCGAGUACUGGUCGGGCGCCCUUCCUCUCGAAGGCUUCGACUGCUCUUGAUUGUGGUGGUCGAGGAGUUCGGGACGUUUACUUUGAAAAAAUUAGAGUGUUCAAGGCAGGCCGUGGCCUGAAUACAUUAGCAUGGAAUAAUGGAAGAGGACCUCGGUCCUAUUUUGUUGGUUUCCAGGGCCGAAGUAAUGAUUGAGAGGGACAGUUGGGGGCAUUCGUAUUUAAUUGUCAGAGGUGAAAUUCUCGGAUUUAUGAAAGACGAACAAGUGCGAAAGCAUUUGCCAAGGAUGUUUUCAUUAAUCAAGAACGAAAGUUGGGGGUUCGA